GGUGACAACCACCUGCCCUGGACAGGUGGAGCCCCCCCCCCCAGAGAAACGUCGCCUCCUCUGACAAAACAAAUUCCAGAGGUUCCAGUGGUAUCUUACGGAGCGGAGCCCAGCCCAGCCCCUGGCCAGCUCCCCUCAGCUCUGCGAGGCUCCCCAGCUCCCUGUGCUCUGGGUUUACCCAGAAGACAUUUUCCCCCUGAGUGUAGAGCCAGUGUACUACACUACAGGGAAACAAAAAGAAUCACAGCUCAAACCGUGAUAACCAGGCCCAUCCUUGGAGGAAAAAAAAGGCAAGGAAGAGCCACUAUUGCUUCUGGCAUUUACUACCAUCCCCAGGUACUUUUCUUCCUGACACCCUUGCCCACACUGGAAACCCCACCCACUGCUGGUGCUUUCUAGAGAGCCAGUAGCUCAGUAGCUCAGUGACCAGCCCAGCCCACUCCACAGAGCCAGAGGCCUGGGCAGACCCGACCGCUGCUGGCCAUACCCCCUGCUGGGUUCUGCCCAGCACCUCCACGUCGGGGCUCCACGCAGGGCGUGGGUUGGAGGCCGAAUGCCACCACCAGGCAGCAGGCCGUCCCUGAGCGCCGGCUGUGUGCCCGGCCCCGAGCCCCACACUCAGAGGGGAGUUACCCUGCUGACCUCUGGAGCAUGAGUGAGCUACCCCCUGACUGCUGGAGUAUGAAUGGGCUACCCCCCUGACCUCUGGGAGCCUGCCGUCCAGCAAGAUCAUGAAAGCUGAUCUCUCGGAUGCCCUGUAGUCAGUGCUAAAAUUAGAGGUGUGUCCCCAGUGGGCUCAGGGCACAUGUGUCAGGAUGAUUCACUCUGCGGGGUGGGAAGAGGAGGCCUGAAGGGUCUCCUUUAUAACGGAGACUUCACCACGACACCCUGGAAGGAGCACGGGAAUGGGGACCACUGAAACAUGUCCUCUCUGGGAACAGGAGGGUCCCCAAGUAUGGGACGGGGGAUCAUUUUAAUAGAUUUAAGGUUAGAUUGACUCAGCAGCUGAGAAAAGUAUUCCUUUAAUUCCCUUCCAGUCCUUCUGAUCGCAUCGAGUGAAUCUCUGGCUAGGCUGCCGGUUUCUAACACCUUGCGAACACUUGCCAGGCUGCCCUGUUAGCAAAGAGGGGGCAGGCCUCAAAUGCACAGCCUUCAGCAGGCGUAGGAUUCACAUGAGGGAUACUGGUCUCCCCCUGGCAGCAGUGAUAUGAAGCCACCUUUUAAAAAGAAGUUUAAGCUUAAAAAGUGAGUUAAUGUAAAGAAAUAUAUUAAAUAAAUAAUAUUACAAUUAGCAUCCCCUCUAUGUAGGAC
rnacentral:lncRNA from 1 species